rnacentral:rRNA from 1 species
AGAAUGAACGUUGGCGGCGUGGAUUAGGCAUGCAAGUCGUACGGGUCGGUGUAGCAAUACAACGGCAAGUGGCGAAAGGGAGAGUAACACGUAGAUACCUACCCUCUGGUCGGGGAUAUCGCGGCAUAACCGCAACCAAUACCCGAUAAAAUCUCCGGAUCAAAGGUGUGAUUCCGCCGGAGGAGGGGUCUGCGUUCUAUCAGCUUGUUGGCGAGGUGACGGCUCACCAAGGCUAAGACGGAUACGGGGUGUGGAGAGCAAUCGCCCCCCGCUCACUGGGACUGACGACACUCGCCCAGACACCGUACGGGUGGCUGCAGGUCCGAGAAUCUUCGGCAAUGGGCGCAAGCCGUGACCGAGGCGACCGCCGGCGUGGCGGGAUCGGAACGGCCGUUCGGGUUGUAAACCGCUCGGUCGAAGGGAAGUGAAGUGUAGGUAAGUCUA